rnacentral:rRNA from 1 species
CAGCCGCCACGGUAAUACGUAGGGUGCGAGCGUUAAUCGGAAUUACUGGGCGUAAAGCGUGCGCAGGCGGUUGUACAAGACAGAUGUGAAAUCCCCGGGCUUAACCUGGGAAUGGCAUUUGUGACUGUACGGCUAGAGUGUGUCAGAGGGGGGUAGAAUUCCACGUGUAGCAGUGAAAUGCGUAGAUAUGUGGAGGAAUACCGAUGGCGAAGGCAGCCCCCUGGGAUAACACUGACGCUCAUGCACGAAAGCGUGGGGAGCAAACAGGAUUAGAUACCCCCGUAGUCCCUGUCUCUUAUAC